rnacentral:rRNA from 1 species
AGUGAACGCUGGCGGUAGGCCUAACACAUGCAAGUCGAACGGCAGCACAGUAAGAGCUUGCUCUUACGGGUGGCGAGUGGCGGACGGGUGAGGAAUACAUCGGAAUCUACUUUUUCGUGGGGGAUAACGUAGGGAAACUUACGCUAAUACCGCAUACGACCUACGGGUGAAAGCAGGGGAUCUUCGGACCUUGCGCGAUUGAAUGAGCCGAUGUCGGAUUAGCUAGUUGGCGGGGUAAAGGCCCACCAAGGCGACGAUCCGUAGCUGGUCUGAGAGGAUGAUCAGCCACACUGGAAAUGAGACACGGUCCAGACUCCUAAGGGAGGCAGCAGUGGGGAAUAUUGGACAAUGGGCGCAAGCCUGAUCCAGCCAUAACGCGUGGGUGAAGAAGGCCUUCGGGUUGUAAAGCCCUUUUGUUGGGAAAGAAAAGCAGCAGGUUAAUACCCCGCUGUUCUGACGGUACCCAAAGAAUAAGCACCGGCUAACUUCGUG